rnacentral:piRNA from 1 species
UGCUAAGGUAUUGUGUGUGGGAAGA